CGCGUGGCUCCGAGCUGUGGUUCGUUGGCCCCUCUGGAGGGGACGCCCCUGCGACGAGCCGCCACCCGCGGAGUCUUCCCCGGGACCUGUCUAGCCCUGGAAAGGCCCACUGCCCCUUAGGGGGCUCCCUCCAGGAAGGACAUGGCGCCCCGGUUCUUCCCGCGGCCUCUCUUCGGACCGUCCCGCCGGGACAGGUCACUUAACUGCAUUUUCCUUUGGCAGUGCCUCGGACCUGUGCCCUUUUUUUCUUCUCCGUUGGAUCCGAGCCAGCGACUUGGGCUGGAAAGGCGCCCUCCUCUGGGAGAGGGAGACCUUAAAACCACCCCUUUCACCAUUAAGGUCCAGUCCAGGAGCCUAGCAAGGACACAGCAAGACCCUGUGAGUCACCUACUUUUCCUUGAUCUGAUCGUCUCAUCAGAGUCAGCCCACGGCAUCCACCAGAGGAACCAGAACAAGAGAGUGGACACAGAGAUACAAAUGCUUUCCAACUUCCGGAAGACUGAUCUCAGUCCUUGUGGGAAAACCAGCAGGGGCAAGUGUCUAGGCUGCCAGGGACCCAGUUAUCUCUCUAAUACCUUACAGAGCCGGCUUCUGGGUGCCUAUUCCCAUUAAACUCCUUGAUCUUGAGGUCUGGUGAUUUGGGGCAAAGAAUCAGUGCAGUGAUUCUUGGGGUAACAAUGAGUACAGUGAGUAAGAAUGAGUCGUUACCCUGGUGACAGGUCAGUGGCCUGGUGGUUUUAAGCUGGAGAAUUAACCAAUAACUUACAAACCCAGACAUAACUUCAUAUAGGUCGAAAAGUCAACCUAAGUUUAUGUGAGCUUACUAGCUAAGAGACUGGGAAUGGUCCCCAGGAAUCCAGCUGAAGUUACUAUAUUAUACAUAAGCAUUCACCUUGGGGAAAGAAAGGAGGAGGCCACAAGACCCGCUGAGCAAGAACAGCCCCUGUAAGAGGCAUGGGCUGGUGUAUAUUUAUCCAGUAUCAUAUUCCUCCACCAGCUCCAUCCCUGAGCCCUGUGUAUGUGAGGUGGAAAGAAAGGAAAACCGUACAGUAGGCAAGAUGUUAAGUACGGAAGGUCAGAAUGAGAAAUAGAACAGAAGAUGAACUCUUACCAAACAUUUAAUCCUCACUGUUUUCUGGAGGUCAUGGAAAAGUCCAGAUUAUGGAUUCUUUUUUGUAAUCUCAAAUACAAAUUUCUAAAAGUUGACAAAUCCCACAAACAUCACCAAAUUCAGAAAAUACCACCACACCUUGCUAAAUUUUAUUAUUAUUACUACUGCUACUAUUAUUGAUAAAAAAUAUGUGCACUUUUGGUAUAGUAUCAAAUUUUAGAAGAUCGCACAAAUUCCUUUCACAUAUGAACUGUAGGAUUUCAGGCCAUUUCAAAUAGUUUUGUGUGGUGAUUAACGUUAAAUGUUCUUUUCUUUGUUUUUAAAUGAGGCAUAAAGUAACUUUCCAAGAUGAUGUAAAGUGGAUGAUGUUGGUAACAUUCAUCAAAAUUUAUAUUUAAGAGUUGUACAUUGCUCUAUACAUAAAUUUUGCCUCAAUUAAAGAAAAAAAUACAGGAAUUUCAAUCAAGGGAAAUUCUAAAAUUGUCCAUUCAUUGUCUUAGGUUGAAAGCCUAGAGAAAUCUAUGAAGUGUCCAUUGCACUGCUGUAAGAUGAAGACCUGUGUGUGUGUAUCACACACAUGUACAUGGUAGGGGUGCUGAUAAAACCUGAGGCUGAGAGGGAUCUUACAGAAGGCAGAGGCAAAGAGCCACUUGGAUUCUGUCUUGAGAUUUAAUGUUGAACAUGUGGAUCCAAGACUUUAAAAAUGUUCUUUCCUUAACCAAGUGAGUCUGAAUAUAUAAUAUGUGGAUACCCAAGGAUCAGAGGAAAACUCUUUAUUCCAGGUGAAAGCCAAGGUAAUUGACUCAGGUGUGGAAAGAAAUGUACCCCUCAAACCAGAAAUGAAACAGUGAAUGGAAAGAGAUGAACCCCACACUUUAAGCAAAACCCAGUAACUUUUUUGUUAAUCUGUGUUAUGAAUUUUGUCAUCUCAUAGUCAUAAGUUGUUUCAUGUCAGAACAGUAAGAAAUUUAAGAAUUCACUCUGACUCCUCCAUAUUAUCUGUAUUCUUAAACAAUUCAAGAGUCUUAGAAUAUGCAUUUAAAGAAAGAAAUUUUUAGGGCUGGGGAUUUAGCUCAGUGGUUCUGCCACCUGCCUCGCAAGUACAAGGUCCAGAGUUCAAUCCCCAGUACAAAAACAAAAAGGAAGAAAUUUUUACUUUAAAUCACAAACACAAAUAGCUCUAACAUCUGCAGUAUUUUCAAUUAGAAUGCCUGAGACACGCACUUCAGUAUGUACUUAGGAUCCUUUAUGCAUCAUAUUGUAAUGGUCAGUCUUGAUUGUGAACUUGAUUGGCUUGAGAGAUACCUAGAAGCACAUUUCUGGGUGUGUCUGGGUGGUUGUGGGGAUGGGACCUUGAGGACUGUGGUGCUGAUGUUUUAUUUGAGUGAUGUGAUGCUAGUUACGCUGAUCAAAACUCAUCAAAAUUUGUACUUAAGAGCUAUACAUAGUACAUUUUUCUAUAUAUAAAUUUUAACUACAUUAAAGGAAAAACAAGAUUUUUAAACAAGAGAAAUACUCAAGGGUCCCGGGCCCCUUCUUCUCUGGUCUUUCCCUCUUACUCUGCUUCCUGGAUGCCCUGAGAUGGGCAGCUUUCCUUUUCCCCAUGAUGUUUCUGUCUUAGAGCCAGCAGACCAUGGACUAAUACCUCUAAAACUGUGAGCCAAAAUAAGCCUUUUCUCCUUUAAGUUGUUCCAGCAACAAAAAGCUAGCUAAUACAUAUACCAAAUGCAGAAAAACCAUUGAUAUAUUAGUAUUAUUGCCAUAUCUCUAGCUUCACAUACUGUGCCUGGUCCAUAACAGGAGCUCAAUAAAUAAUUGUUGAAAUUUUCCACUACCCAAGACAGAAAGAUUUGAUAUUACCUAAAAUCAGAUUGUGCUUGAAUUUCAGUAGCCUGAGACGAAGCUGAGAGAAUUUGUGUAAAACCAAAUUGUAAAAUGUAAAAACAAAGCCAUUUGCCUGUUGGGACUCUGCUGAACACUGAGUAGGCGUUGGAUGGAUAGGAGACAAGAAGCAAAGAGCAAAGAUGUGCCUAGUGUGCUUGGGUGACUAAAGACAGUAAAGAAGAGGGGAAGCUAGAGGAGGGUGUGGAUGCUUCCUGCCUGUGGUCAAGUGCAUAAGGAAUGUCAGUUCAGAGAGUGGGCACAGGCAUAAGGUAGACUCCACUCACCUAUUACCAAGACCCAAAUAAGUAAGGCUAAGUCUGGGGAGAAAACAAUAAUAAUAUACACUUAUAGUAAAGGUCUCCACUUAUUGUUAUCCUUCCUAUGCAUAAUUAUUCAUUCAUGUGACAAAUAUUUAUUGAACAUUUAUUAUGUAGUAGGUGUAGUUCACUGACUAUAGCAGGACACCCAAUAUCUCUUUCCUAAUGAGCCUUAUAGACUAAUGAGCUUAGGAAAGCAGAAAAUAAGCAAGGUAAGUAAAUAAAUGGGAUGUUAUAAGGUGCUACAUGCUUUGGAGAAAAAAUAGCAAAAAAAGGAGAUAAGGAAUAAGAGGCAUGGGAUUCAGUACAGUAGCAAAGGGUGUCCUGAGAAGGUUUUACUGAUAAGGUGAAAGUUGAACAGAGACCUAAAAGAGAUGAGAGAUGAAGCCCCUCAGAUAUGUGAGGAAGCACAAAGGCCCUGGGGUCUUUCCUGGUGUGUGCUGAGCACAGUAAGGCUGUUAGCCGAGUAAGCCAAGGACUACGAGGAGGUGUGAUAUGUGGAAUUGUAUAGGUCAUUGUAUGUGUGGGCUCUUGUGGAUAGGUCAUUGUAUGCACAGGGCUCCCAACUGCACUGGGGAGAUGUUGCACAGGUAAGUGAUAUGAUCUGACAAAUCUUUUAUCAGGACAGAUCCCCCUGUGUGAUAAAAGCAGGGAGGUGAAUUAGGAAGCUAUUGCAAAACUGCAAGCAAGCGACAAGAACGGUAGCUAGCUCCAGGUUGGGAUCAAAGGGGGUGGUAAGAAGUGUUCACGUUCUAGUGCUAUGGAGCUGACAGGUGCUUAGAGAUGGAUCCAAGGUGUAAGAGAAAGAAAGGCGAAGAUGGCUCAAAGGUUUACAGUUAAACCACUAGAAAGAUGGUGCUGCACCAACUAAAUGGGGGAGAACUGUGGACCUGCAAGGCUGGGGUGGAGCAAUCAGGCCACCAGUGGCUACCUGUAUUGAAGGUUGUGAACGUGGAAGUGGAUGACAAAAUAGGAAAAAUGCACGCUGUGCAGGCAAAUCAAGCUCUUGAGUCUAAGCAUGAGAAAGAAAAAGGGUUUACAUGUGCUGUGGUCUGUGCUUAUGUGGAAUGGUCUUAAGGUUGUUUUGGAAGCUCAAGUGGGAAGAGGGGCAGCCCCCCAAUAUCCCAUCUGUACUAAGUUUACCCCCCAGCAUAACAAAAAAACCAAAACAAAAUGAGAACAAAAAACAAUGGAAGCGCUAGCAUUAUAUUCCUAUAAUCCCAGCAGUAUCUUACUUUGUCUCAAACUAAUUUCUUCCCUGACCUGGUGAGACUAAUAUUUAUUCACAAGUACUGUUUGCAAAAAUUGUUACUUCUGCCAGGCAUGGUGGUACAUGCCUGUAAUCCCAGCACGCCGGAGGCUGAGGCAGGAGGAUCACUGAUUUCCAGGCCACCCUGGGCUACAUAGUGAGUUUAAGAACAGCCCAAGCAACAUAGGGAGAUCCUGUCUAAAAAAAAAAAAAAACAAAAAAAAAAUAGUUACUUCUGGAAUUAACUACAAAGAUGGAUUUACUUAAUACAUUGUUUUCCAGGAUGAUAGAAAUUAAUUAAUAUUUUAUUUUUUGCUACCAAAAAACUACCACAACUUCUUGGAAUUAUAACAAGAAUAUGUAAUGAAAUCCACAUAUGCAUCACGAUAGGGAUGUUGACUGGGUUCCAUUUCUGUUUGACCAAAUCUUCCAUGAUUCCAUUACUCUGUAAGAGAGACUUCCCCACCAGGAGAUGGAAAGUGGCAGGCCAGGCAGUUUUCAGCCCACUUGUAGGUUCUCUGCACACAGAGUCAGUUCUGUUACCAGUCCUGAGUGCAAACUUGACUUAGCCUUGUUAAAUCUUCUCGGCUUCCGCUAGGACAGAGCGGUGGGAAGGGGUGAGUGAGUGAGGCCCUGUGCUCCUGCCGUUAGCCCUAAGGACUCCCUGGGACACCUCCUCUUCCUGCUGAGGCUCUCCUGCCCACCCCGUUGAAUGGAUCCCACACAGAAAGACUUUCUUGCCCACGGCUGCAUCAGUUCACAAGAAACUGUCCCCUGCCCCUUGCUUAAGCUGCUCUGGGCAUGAGGGCUAAGGCCAACCACACAGCAAAGGUGAUCAUGGCCCUCACCCCAGGUUUCCUGCCAAGCCACCCCCACUGGCUUUCUGAGGUGUGAGUGAGGCCGCCUCCUCAUUUUCUCCAGCUGUAGAGAACAACCGCAGAUUUCUCCAGGGGUCUCCUUCAUUAGGCUGGGGGUUCGAGAGCAGCACCCCCAACCCGCCCUCUAAAUGAAGACAGGGCCUGGCAACAACUUGUAUCACCAUCUUCUCCCUCUCUCCUCAGAUUCUCACUUCUGUUUAUAGCUUUGAUGCCAGGGUGGGAUCCAAGAUUGUGGAACAAGUUCUGAGGACAUUUCUGUAAAAAUCUGCAGGGGGAGUGCAGUUGUUUCACCGUCACUUUGAGAAUCUGCCAUGUGUAUCACAGUCUACUUCAGGAGACCCUGGAAAGAAUCCCUUCCACCAUUCUCUCAAACUUCUUAGCUUGAAAAAAAUCAUUUUGGUCACUACAAAUAUAUUGCACAUGCAUAUAGUAUAUAGACUUGAUCAGCUGCACUGCAUAUUCAUAUUUGAGGUGAUGAUUCUGGAAGCUUAGUCCUGGGUCAUCAGCUGUCACUGAAGAAAAUCCCACAUCUACAUUUGGCCCAAUCCACUGCACCUACAUUGUGAAUGUUAGGUCACUUCUUAUGUCUCACUGGUCACAUCUGCUAUGUCUUAAUUCAAUAGCUACUCGACACCUGUGGCCAUUGCAAUUUAAUGAAUUAAAAGAAAA